rnacentral:rRNA from 1 species
GACGAACGCUGGCGGCGCGCCUAACACAUGCAAGUCGAACGAGCGAGAGAGAGCUUGCUUUCUCGAGCGAGUGGCGAACGGGUGAGUAACGCGUGAGGAACCUGCCUCAAAGAGGGGGACAACAGUUGGAAACGACUGCUAAUACCGCAUAAGCCCACGACCCGGCAUCGGGUGGAGGGAAAAGGAGCAAUCCGCUUUGAGAUGGCCUCGCGUCCGAUUAGCUAGUUGGUGGGGUAACGGCCCACCAAGGCGACGAUCGGUAGCCGGACUGAGAGGUUGAACGGCCACAUUGGGACUGAGACACGGCCCAGACUCCUACGGGAGGCAGCAGUGGGGAAUAUUGCACAAUGGGGGCAACCCUGAUGCAGCGACGCCGCGUGGAGGAAGAAGGUCUUAGGAUUGUAAACUCCUGUUGUUGAGGAAGAUAAUGACGGUACUCAACAAAGAAGUGACGGCUAACUACGUG